GUAGGCGACCCGGGAAAGGAAACGCCUGACUGCUGCAGCCCGGCCCGAACGCCGCGGGACUGAUCAGAAGUCCAAGGCCCGAAGGCCCAGGGAGCCAAUCCUCAGGGAGCCUGACCGUGCUGCCCACUGCUUGCCCGGAGCGCCAUUUAGUCCUAAGGAGACGGACACGUUGGUGGGGCUGAGGUCCGGCCAGCUUUCUAAUUUUUAUUUUCGAGGGGGAUGGGUACAGGGAUCAAACCCAGGGAUGCUGUGGCUCGGAGCUGCACCCCGGCUCUUUUUACUUUUUAUCUUAUUUUCUUUUCAAUAAGUGGAUAGUGAAUAGUGGCCUUCCUUUGGGCAGAUGGGGACAUGUGGAUGACACAUCUUGUUCACUUUAAACCCCUCUUUCCCCCUCAGUCCCCUUUCCUGUCUCCCAGAGUCUUUCUUUUAUUCAUUAAUUUAUUUAUAUUUCAGGUUUCUCUUAUAAGGGAAAGCAUAUGAUAUUUAGUUUUUUGAGUCUGGCUUAUUUUGCUUAGCAUGAUGGUUUCAAGUUUCAUCCAUCUUCCUGCAGGUGAUAUGAUUUUGUUCUUCUUUCUUCUUCUUUUUGGUACCAGGGAUCGAACUCAGGACCUUGUGCUUGCAAGGCAGGCGGCAGAACCACUGAGCUAAAUCCCUGGCCCGAUUUUAUUCUUCUUGAUGGCUGAGUAAUAUUCCACAGUGUCUGUACACUGUAUUUCCCUUAUUCAUUCAUCCAUUGACAGGCAUCUAGGCUGCUCCCAGAGUGCAGCCACUAUGAACUGUGCUCCUUUAAACACUGACUCACACUGCUAUGUAUCACAAUAGUGUGGUGUCAUUCAUUCUCUUGGGAAUGUGCCUGAGAAAGGUACAGUUAGCUGGUGAAUGGAAUUUCUGUUUUAUUUUUUUCAGAAUCUCCAUGCUGAUUUCCAUAGUGGAUAUACUAGUUUGCAUUCCCACCAACAGUGUAGGAGGCCCCUACCCCCAAGAGUUUGUUGCCUUUUGAGUAUUUGAUGAUGACAGCCAUUCUGACUGGGGUGAGAUGGAAUCACAAAGCUGUUUAGAUUUGCAUUCCCCUAAUGGCCAACAAUGCCAAAUACUUUUUUCAUAUACUUACACUUUUUUCACAUACUUCUGCUCAUAUUCUUUUUUCAUAGGCUUCUUUGAGAAGUGUCUAUUCAUCUGCCCAGUUUUUGAUUGGGCCAUCUGUGUUUCGGGAGUUGGUUUUUGAGGUCUUUACAAAUCUGGAUACUCGUCGUCCACCGGAAGGGCGGUUGGGCCGUGGCCUCGCGCUCCGUGGCUGUGAUUUCCGGCCUUGGAGGGCCCUUCGCUUUGCGGGGUCGGUGGAAGCUGACUCAGUCCGGAAGCUGCGCUCCUUAGCACCGGAGGCCAGACUUUGGACUUUGUAUACAGUGUCAGCCUGUCCCGGAGGCCGAGGCAGUGCAGAAGGCGGACAGGGCCCGGGCGAGCCAUGACUCAGCGGGGGACAGAAAGGACUUGUUGCUUUCUUUCUCUCUUCCUCUCUCUCUCUCUUUCUCCUUUUUUGAAACAAGGUUUUACUAUGUAGUCCAGGCUGGCCUUGAACUCACAGGGAUCCUUCUGCCUCAGCCUCCUGAGCGUGGGGAUCACAGGCAUGUGCCACCAUGCCUGGCAGGAUCUCUCUCUUAUGAGGGCUUUUCCACACAGCCUCUUGAACCUCACAGGCAGCGUCUGAUUUAAGAAGGAAUAUUCCAAGAGCUAUUUUGAGACGGGGUCACCACGCUGCCCAGGCUGGACUGGAACUCGCGGCCUCCCGAGCUUGUGGGGGUGACAGGUGCGCACCACGCCUGCCUCGGGGCCUGAGCACCUUUCUGCUCUUCUCCUUCAGAGCCAUCAGGACCCCUUCCAGAUGCUCAGGUACGACGUGACGUCUGCGUCUCGCUCCACGGGAGAUGUACAUUCGGGGAAAAUUACUACUUGCCAACUUUGUUUUCAAUGGCCACAGCACUUCCGCUAGAGACCUUCAGAAGCAAAUCAUGAAGUCGAGGAACGAUUACCUCAUGGGGCUCUUCCUCCCCAGCGACUUCAGAAUCAGGGCCUAAUCUACUCUGUGUCUUGGAGAUGAAGAUGCCUUUGUGUUAAGAAAAAGAAAAGCCAAAUACAUUUUAACAGCAUCUGUUUUCCAAUCUAAAUAGAAAAUACCAUAGAAAAUGUUAACUGGAAUGGACUGGUUUUAAUCACAGCCAACAUUACAGUGGGAACUAACUUUAGAGAAGGUACGAAAAUAAAAUGGACCCUUUUGCACAGUAACAACUCUCGUAUUUUGAGAGCAGGCAUUGAAUCCAGGAACCUCACUGGAUUAAAGAGCCCAACUUUACAGGCAGUGACUAAGAGCUGCCAUAAAGUCCAUGCACUUAUGCACAAUCCACUUCUGGUCUUCACUGUGCCUGCUUACUCUUAGUAUACACACAGUUCUAACCAGCUUUGUUGCUUGCUGUUCAAAACCAGGGCAGCUCAGGAGGUGCAUUAAGCAGGUGGAGAAAGGCUGCUGCCACAGGCACACUUGAGCAACCAGGGACAUAAACAGGGGAAUCAGAACAACUCUCCAAAACAUAGACAUGAAAACCUAAGCAAGCACAGCCACAGAGUCAUUUGGUACAGGGAGAAAUGGUUCUCAGUGUUCUGUCCACCAGGGUGUAACUAAUGUUCAUAAUGGCCAUUUUAAUAUAAAAAUAUUAGAGUGGACUUAUACACUGUUCAAGACAGCAGUGCUCAUGGGUUUUGCAAAGAUAUCUUCAAAAGUUAUUCCAAAACAUGCGAACAAUGGAAGAAGCUCUCAUUCAGUAGAAAACGGGGCUGUCCAGCAUGACCAUUCCCGAUAACACACUAUUCGUUCCUCAUACACAGUCAGGCUAGCCAGUUCUUCCUAACCUGGCCACAUUUAGUCUUUAGAAUAUGAGUUUGGUGAGCAGAGCUGAAGUCACAGUAAUAAUCCCCUAAGUUUUAUACUGAUACACUGAACUAAGAACGAUCAACAAGAACAAAAUAUGUAACACUUUCCUGAAACAUACACAAUGAUUUAUACAAAGAUGACAGUCAAAUGUCCCUUUACAGUUGAAUUCAUUAGUGGAGAGUCCUGGAAACAUCAAUAUAUAAAAAUGAAUUAAGCUGGGAUUUAGAUCAGUGGUUCCGCUGCCUGCCUCACAAGCAUAAGGUCCCGAGUUCGACCCCUGGUACCAAAACCAAAACAAACAAACCAACAAAAAAAUGAAUUAGUCAGUCAAAUACACAGACAGCAGUAAUAUAUUUGGGCAAGUACUUUUAGCAGUUCUUAAGGUAAACGAAGGAAUGUUAGCAGCCACGGCGAACAUGGAGUCCAUGCAUUUCACUACCGGAAAAGCACUCAGCCUGUUCCAGUUACUUACUCUUCUUUUAGACACAAUUCUAGCAAGCUUGGCAGUCUGGGUUUUCAGUCCGUGGCAGAUUAGAAGCAGCAAAUGAGGGACCUACUGCAGGAG